UGAACCCGACACGCGGUACGGUCGGUGCGAUAUCGACGACGGUAAGACGGAAGCCGGUGGGAAACCGGCACGGUCGCGCCACUGUGAACGAGGGGUCCCGGACGGGAUGUCUUGUGAGUCAGACCCGUAACCGUCGUCCUGUGC
rnacentral:ncRNA from 2 species